rnacentral:rRNA from 1 species
GAGUGGCGAACGGCUGAGUAACACGUGGAGAACCUGCCCCCUCCCCCGGGAUAGCCGCCCGAAAGGACGGGUAAUACCGGAUACCCCGGGCCGCCGCAUGGCGCCCGGGCUAAAGCCCCGACGGGAGGGGGAUGGCUCCGCGGCCCAUCAGGUAGACGGCGGGGUGACGGCCCACCGUGCCGACAACGGGUAGCCGGGUUGAGAGACCGACCGGCCAGAUUGGGACUGAGACACGGCCCAGACUCCUACGGGAGGCAGCAUG